GUGCUUGCUUCGGCAGCACAUAUAGUAAAAUUGGAAUGAUACAGAGAAGAUUAGCAUGGCCGUUGCCCAAGGAUGACACACAAUUUUGUCAAGAAUCCAUGGUUUAU